AACUUUAUAUUCAAAAAUUAUGAUUUUAGACUGCAAUUCUGAAGGUGUAGCAUUUCUACUAAAGUUU
rnacentral:tRNA from 1 species